GAUGAACGCUAGCGGGAGGCCUAACACAUGCAAGCCGAGCGGUAGAGAUUCUUCGGAAUCUUGAGAGCGGCGUACGGGUGCGGAACACGUGUGCAACCUGCCUUUAUCAGGGGGAUAGCCUUUCGAAAGGAAGAUUAAUACCCCAUAAUAUAUUUGAUGGCAUCAUUAGAUAUUGAAAGCUUUGGCGGAUAGAGAUGGGCACGCGCAAGAUUAGAUAGUUGGUGAGGUAACGGCUCACCAAGUCGAUGAUCUUUAGGGGGCCUGAGAGGGUGAUCCCCCACAGUGGUACUGAGACAAGAACCAGACUCCUAGGGGAGGCGCCGGUGAGGAAUUUGGAACAAGGGGUUGGCGCUUGAUCCGCCCCUCCCGCGGGAAGGACGCCGGCCUUAGGGGUUGUAACCUUUUUUUUUAAGGGAAUAACCCUACUCCGGUGAGAGUAGCGAAGGUUCUUUAAGAAAAAGCCCCGGCCCACCCCCGUC
rnacentral:rRNA from 1 species